rnacentral:misc_RNA from 1 species
GAUGAAGAACGUAGCGAAAUGCGAUAAGUAAUGUGAAUUGCAGAAUUCAGUGAAUCAUCGAAUCUUUGAACGCACAUUGCGCCCGCCAGUAUUCUGGCGGGCAUGCCUGUCCGAGCGUCAUUUCAACCCUCGAACCCCUCCGGGGGGUCGGCGUUGGGGAUCGGCCCUUUCACCGGGUGUCGGCCCCUAAAUACAGUGGCGGUCUCGCCGCAGCCUCUCAUGCGCAGUAGUUUGCACACUCGCACCGGGAGCGCGGCGCGUCCUCGUCCGUAAAACACCCCAAACUUCUGAAAUGUUGACCUCGGAUCAGGUAGGAAUACCCGCUGAACUUAAGCAUAUCAAUAAGCGGAGGA